rnacentral:rRNA from 1 species
UGCCAGCCGCCGCGGUAAUACGAACUGCACAAACGUUAUUCGGAAUCACUGGGCUUAAAGAGUCCGUAGGCGGUCUAGAAGGUGAGGUGUGAAAGCCCACAGCCCAACUGUGGAACUGCGCUUCAAACCGCUAGGCUUGAGGGAGACAGGGGUGAGCGGAACAGAUGGUGGAACGGUGAAAUGCGUUGAUAUCAUCUGGAACACCGGUGGCGAAGGCGGCUCACUGGGUCUCUUCUGACGCUGAGGGACGAAAGCUAGGGGAGCGAACGGGAUUAGAUA